AAUGAACGCUGGCGGCAGGCCUAACACAUGCAAGUCGAACGCACCUUCGGGUGAGUGGCGGACGGGUGAGUAACGCGUGGGAACAUACCCUUUGGUACGGAAUAGUCCUGGGAAACUGGGGGUAAUACCGUAUGUGCUCUUCGGAGGAAAGAUUUAUCGCCAAAGGAUUGGCCCGCGUUGGAUUAGGUAGUUGGUGGGGUAAUGGCCUACCAAGCCGACGAUCCAUAGCUGGUUUUAGAGGAUGAUCAGCCACACUGGGACUGAGACACGGCCCAGACUCCUACGGGAGGCAGCAGUGGGGAAUCUUAGACAAUGGGCGCAAGCCUGAUCUAGCCAUGCCGCGUGAUCGAUGAAGGCCUUAGGGUUGUAAAGAUCUUUCAGAUGGGAAGAUAAUGACUGUACCAUCAGAAGAAGCCCCGGCUAACUCCGUG
rnacentral:rRNA from 1 species